rnacentral:misc_RNA from 1 species
GAUGAAGAACGCAGCGAAAUGCGAUAAGUAAUGUGAAUUGCAGAAUUCAGUGAAUCAUCGAAUCUUUGAACGCACCUUGCACCCUUUGGCAUUCCGAAGGGUAUGCUCGUUUGAGUGUCAUUGUACUCUCACUCUCCCGAUGCUUUUGGAUCGGGAGUGGUGGACUUGGGUGUUGCUGCUUUGCUGUGGCUCGCCUCAAAUGGAGUAGUGCAACUCUUGGUUGGACAUAGUACGGCGUGAUAAGUGUCUUCGCCGGCGCCUCAUUAUAGAGGGUGGCCGAUCGGGAGCUCUGUGCUUCAAACCGUCUUCGGACAACAUCUGACAACUUGACCUCAAAUCGAGUAGGACUACCCGCUGAACUUAAGCAUAUCAAUAAGGGAGGA